rnacentral:rRNA from 1 species
UGGGGAAUCUUGGACAAUGGGCGCAAGCCUGAUCCAGCCAUGCCGCGUGAGUGAAGAAGGCCUUCGGGUUGUAAAGCUCUUUUACCAGGGACGAUAAUGACGGUACCUGGAGAAUAAGCCCCGGCAAACUUCGUGCCAGCAGCCGCGGUAAUACGAAGGGGGCUAGCGUUGUUCGGAAUUACUGGGCGUAAAGCGCACGUAGGCGGAUUGUUAAGUCAGAGGUGAAAUCCCGGAGCUCAACUUCGGAACUGCCUUUGAUACUGGCAAUCUAGAGUCCGGAAGAGGUUAGUGGAAUUCCCAGUGUAGAGGUGAAAUUCGUAGAUAUUGGGAAGAACACCAGUGGCGAAGGCAGUACAUUGGGCCACUCCUGACACUGAAACACGAAAGCGUAGGUAGCGAAUGGGAUUAGAUACCCACGUAGUCCCUGAGCGGGCUGGCAAGGCGCAU